GUGCUUGCUUCAGCAGCACAUAUACUAAAAUUGGAAUGAUACAGAGAAGAUCAGCAUGGCCCCUGCGCAAGGAUGACAUGCAAACAGCGAAAUGAACUUAGGGUGAUU